UUGGAGGGCAAGUCUGGUGCCAGCAGCCGCGGUAAUUCUAGCUCCAAUAGCGUAUAUUAAAGUUGUUGCAGUUAAAAAGCUCGUAGUUGAAUUUCGGGGUCAGUAGGUUGGUCAUGCCUCUGGUAUGUACUGGUCUCACUGAUUCCUCCUUCCUGAUGAGCCGUAAUGCCAUUAAUUUGGUGUUGCGAGGAAUCUGGACUGUUACUUUGAAAAAAUUAGAGUGUUUAAAGCAGGC
rnacentral:rRNA from 1 species